GACGAACGCUGGCGGCGUGCCUAAUACAUGCAAGUUGAGCGCUGAAGGUUGGUACUUGUACCGACUGGAUGAGCAGCGAACGGGUGAGUAACGCGUGGGGAAUCUGCCUUUGAGCGGGGGACAACAUUUGGAAACGAAUGCUAAUACCGCAUAAAAACUUUAAACACAAGUUUUAAGUUUGAAAGAUGCAAUUGCAUCACUCAAAGACGAUCCCGCGUUGUAUUAGCUAGUUGGUGAGGUAAAGGCUCACCAAGGCGAUGAUACAUAGCCGACCUGAGAGGGUGAUCGGCCACAUUGGGACUGAGACACGGCCCAAACUCCUACGGGAGGCAGCAGUAGGGAAUCUUCGGCAAUGGACGAAAGUCUGACCGAGCAACGCCGCGUGAGUGAAGAAGGGUUUCGGAUCGUAAAACUCUGUUGGUAGAGAAGAACGUUGGUGAGAGUGGAAAGCUCAUCAAGUGACGGUAACUACCCAGAAAGGGGCGGCUAACUACGUG
rnacentral:rRNA from 1 species